AUUUACUUAGUUUAAAUAAAACUCUUUAUUUUCAUUAAAAAAAUGAUUAAAAUCAGUAAAUU
rnacentral:tRNA from 2 species